rnacentral:rRNA from 1 species
UUGAACGCUGGCGGCAGGCCUAACACAUGCAAGUCGAGCGGUAGCACAGAGAGCUUGCUCUCGGGUGACGAGCGGCGGACGGGUGAGUAAUGUCUGGGAAACUGCCUGAUGGAGGGGGAUAACUACUGGAAACGGUAGCUAAUACCGCAUAACGUCGCAAGACCAAAGUGGGGGACCUUCGGGCCUCAUGCCAUCAGAUGUGCCCAGAUGGGAUUAGCUAGUAGGUGGGGUAACGGCUCACCUAGGCGACGAUCCCUAGCUGGUCUGAGAGGAUGACCAGCCACACUGGAACUGAGACACGGUCCAGACUCCUACGGGAGGCAGCAGUGGGGAAUAUUGCACAAUGGGCGCAAGCCUGAUGCAGCCAUGCCGCGUGUGUGAAGAAGGCCUUCGGGUUGUAAAGCACUUUCAGCGGGGAGGAAGGCGAUAAGGUUAAUAACCUUGUCGAUUGACGUUACCCGCAGAAGAAGCACCGGCUAACUCCGUGCCAGCAGCCGCGGUAAUACGGAGGGUGCAAGCGUUAAUCGGAAUUACUGGGCGUAAAGCGCACGCAGGCGGUCUGUCAAGUCGGAUGUGAAAUCCCCGGGCUCAACCUGGGAACUGCAUUCGAAACUGGCAGGCUAGAGUCUUGUAGAGGGGGGUAGAAUUCCAGGUGUAGCGGUGAAAUGCGUAGAGAUCUGGAGGAAUACCGGUGGCGAAGGCGGCCCCCUGGACAAAGACUGACGCUCAGGUGCGAAAGCGUGGGGAGCAAACAGGAUUAGAUACCCUGGUAGUCCACGCCGUAAACGAUGUCGAUUUGGAGGUUGUGCCCUUGAGGCGUGGCUUCCGGAGCUAACGCGUUAAAUCGACCGCCUGGGGAGUACGGCCGCAAGGUUAAAACUCAAAUGAAUUGACGGGGGCCCGCACAAGCGGUGGAGCAUGUGGUUUAAUUCGAUGCAACGCGAAAAACCUUACCUGGUCUUGACAUCCACGGAAGUUUUCAGAGAUGAGAAUGUGCCUUCGGGAACCGUGAGACAGGUGCUGCAUGGCUGUCGUCAGCUCGUGUUGUGAAAUGUUGGGUUAAGUCCCGCAACGAGCGCAACCCUUAUCCUUUGUUGCCAGCGGUUAGGCCGGGAACUCAAAGGAGACUGCCAGUGAUAAACUGGAGGAAGGUGGGGAUGACGUCAAGUCAUCAUGGCCCUUACGACCAGGGCUACACACGUGCUACAAUGGCAUAUACAAAGAGAAGCGACCUCGCGAGAGCAAGCGGACCUCAUAAAGUAUGUCGUAGUCCGGAUUGGAGUCUGCAACUCGACUCCAUGAAGUCGGAAUCGCUAGUAAUCGUAGAUCAGAAUGCUACGGUGAAUACGUUCCCGGGCCUUGUACACACCGCCCGUCACACCAUGGGAGUGGGUUGCAAAAGAAGUAGGUAGCUUAACCUUCGGGAGGGCGCUUACCACUUUGUGAUUCAUGACUGGGGUG